AUUGAAUCACCGGUUCCCUUACGAACACCGAAGUUAAGCAACGUCGAGCAUGGUCAGUAUCUUGAUGGGUGACCGCUUGAGAAUAGCG